AUUUUAAAUCCCUUGCUUGUAGCAAAUGCUGUACCAGCCUCUUGGGUGUCCUCCAGGGACAAAAGAAGGAGAGGAAGGUGCACCUGGGAUUGAAAAAGGAAUAUGAGCAGAUACAACAGCAAAAAGGUAAUCCUGACCAGUGGCCAGAUGGCUGACCCAGAGCUCCAGAGGGAAGGGAGCAUGAGCUGAGAGCAGCUCUGGGCAGCCAUGUGAGCUUGAGAUAAGACUGAAGAAAAGUGUGUGGGCCCAGAUACAUCUCCAUCUCCUGUGUCUCCCUGAAUGGGUGCACUCGGGCUGCCUCCUGCCUUGACUCGUGGAGGUGGCACCCUGCAGGUGUUACUGAGAGCACAAACUCAACAAUGUUGUGAUUGUGUUGGACUCUGCCACUUGGAGCAUGAUGCAGGUCUGCCUUGAUGACCUUUUUGGGAGAAAGAUCCCACCACAGGGUGAACUGCCUCAAUCCCUGUGUAUCCUUUCUUUCAGGGGAACUUCAUAAAUGACACAAGUUACUGCUUACAUUCAAAACCCAGGCACUUUCAGACUGGGCUUCUUUGUUUUGAAUCAUCCCCUUUAAGCAUGGUGAAGGAGAGGUGGAUGCAGGUGCCCACAGUGGCCCCAAGCCUUUAGCAGAGCCUUUAGGUUGGAGGGAAUACAUGUGGAUUUUUAGAGAGCAGCCAGCUCUGGAUUUACUUCCCAUUCACUAGCCUCUUGGGAAAAAGAGAUGUGGUGAGCAGUCCCCUCCACCUGUGCCCACACCCCACUGCUUGUAAGGAGCUGUGGGAAACCCACAUACAUCAUGAAAACACUCAGACUGUAGCUGGGAGCGGGGUUCCUGCACUGCCCAUGUUGCUGCACAUCUGGAAGCCAGCUCCUUGCCUUGGCCGUGGGGCAGGCAGCUGCUGAGCAGAGACCCAGGGGUCAGCAGUGAGCCUGCUGGUCACCGGGGCUGCUCAAGCAGGAGGUAAAAAGGGGAAUGUCUCCCAAUUCUCCUGCCUCUUACUCAGCUGGCACUUACACUUGGAUUUUUCUCAGACUGAGUAGGCUGCCUGCAAAGUGCUGCUGGGGCAGCACCUUGACAAUUCCCCCAUUGCUGCAAGCUGUAAGAUCUGUUCCUUGCUGGGACCCACUUCAACAGUGGUGUGCAACCUUGCAACCUUAUGGGGCCAGGAAAAGAAGAGCUGAUACCAGUAUGGACUUUAUUCUUUGCUGCUGUAACCGUUUAAGACUGGGAGCUGAGCUGUGUUCACACCGUGUGGCAUGAACAGCAGCCCCACUGCGUCUCCAGUCCAAGACUCAGGACUGCAGAAGCCCGAAGACACUCAGGGCUGGGAAAUGCCUCUCCCUGCUCCUGGCCACAUUCCUAGCACACAACCCAAGGAGCUACAUCUCUCUUUUCAUCUUUUAGCAAGACUUUACCCAAGCAGACUCAGCAGCCCAGUUUCAGGCUCUGACAGCUCCUGAUUCGGCUGGAAGCCAGUCUGAAAGAUGUGUUGACACAUAAUUUUUCCAUUUGCACUGCGUAUAAACUGUCCACUAUUCCCCUUAUUGCCUGGAGCUCGGGAGAGGUGCAAUGGCAAAGACUGCAAGUGAAAACCAUGUGUAAACUACUCACUUGAUUACCCAGUGUUUUCCUAGAUCAUAUUCUGCAAAAUAGCAUCCAUGCUUGUUUUUCAUGACCUGCUACUUUUUGCAUAAAGCUCAGGAUAUCUCUGCUCCUGA